AAAUGCCAAGCUGAGGAAGGAGCAGGGGAAGCUGUUGAAGCAAAUUGUGCAUAAUUAGGACUGUUGUCUCCUGCUAUGGUCUGAAGAUUCAUAUGUGGAAACCUAAUCCCUACCUUGGGGAUAGUAAGAGGUGGGGCCUUUGGGAGCUGACGAGGUCAUGAGGGCCCCACUGUCAUGAUUGGGAUUAGUGCCCUCAUAAAGGAGGCCCAAGGGAGCUUGUUCACCCCUUCCAACAAGCGAAGAUGAUGCAAGAAGGGGCCACAUGUGAUGCAGAGGGUGGGCCCUCAUGGAAUCUGCUGGCACAUUGACCUUGGACUGCCCAGCCUCCAGAACUGUGAGCGAUAAAUUUCUAUUGCUUAUAAACGACCCACUAAGGCAUUUUGUUGUGGCGUCCUGAAUAGACUAACACAUCUCCCAAGGGAGAGUUCUUCCUUUAAACUUUUGUUUUUUUGGUUUUUUAAAAACAAUAUUUUAAAAUUCAGUUUCUGUAUAGUAUUCCAUUGUAUGAAUCUUGUGUAAUUUAUGCCCCUCCCUUAUUAAUGGACAUUUGCGUUGUUCCUCAUUCUUGUUCACCUUUGACACCUUAAUAGGAGGGCCCCGCCUUCCUUUGCAAGGCUGGGCAUGGUGGCUGGGAGAGAGGGAAGCACAGCCGUGGCUUUAUCUGUCCCAGGAACUUUGUCCCAGGGUGCCCUGACACAUCCCAUCUCUCCUUGUCACGGGGUGUCCUCGACACUGUCUGUCUCUCUUACAGUCCUUGCUACUCAGUUUCUCUCCUUACAACUCUCUCUUGCUCACUCUCAAUCUCUUUCGUUGUCUUUUUGUCUCUCUCUCCCCCUUUCCUCUGUUUCUCUUUCUCACUCUUCUCUGUCUCUCUCUGUCUAUCUCUCUCUCCUCUUUGAUUUCCCUUUUCUUUUUCUUUUCUUUUUUUUUUUUUUUUUUGAGACAGAGUCUUGCUCUGUCGCCCAGGUUGGAGUGCAGUGGCAUGAUCUCGGCUCACUGCAAGCUCCGCCUCCUGGGUUCACGCCAUUCUCCUCCUGAUUUCCCUUUUCUAUAAGUCUCUCUCUGUUUUUCUAUUGCUGUCUCUAUUUCUCACUAUCUCUUUGUCUUUUUCUCCCUUCCCCUCUUUCUAUGUCUCUCCCUUUCUUUCCCUGUUUCUCUUUGUUUUUCUAUUUCUCUCUCUCUGUCUCUCUAUUUCUGUCUGUCUCUAUUUCUCUCUGUGUCUGCUCUGUCUUUCUCUGUCUCUCCCUCCCUCCCUCUCUGUUGAUCUCUGCUCACAGCUCUCCUAACAGCAUCCAUCUGGGCUCCAUGCUGUUCGUGUGAGCCUCUUCCAGAUGGUAGGAUGGAUUUGAGUUGAUAGCGUGGUGUGCUAAUGACACAGAGCUAAUUCUUAAUAAUGGUGAAAUGUGAUAAAAAAAAGAAAACCCUCAUCUGGGUCAGCUCAAUACCUGGCCAUAAUGGCACUAUCUGCAGCAGUCCUGGCCACUGUCACCUGAACAGAUGUGAUUGUACUAGGGCUGGGUAGACCUGCAGCCUUGUUCCCCUCCUGGUGUGGCUUCAGAGUUUGGAAAGUCAGGGUUAUUCGAAUCCAGGGCUGGAGAGCUGCAAAGACCAGAAUCCCUCCCACAGAAGCUCGAGUCACAAGGGAGCUUAUUGUAAGUGCCACAGCCACAGAUCUGGGUUCACAGACACAGGUGUGCAUCAAAUGGGACCCAUCAGUUGGGAUACCUGGGUGUGAGCAACAAAGGCGGACUCCAGCUGACUCAAGUGGAAAAGGAAUUGAUUGAAACAACACCUGGAGAGCUCGCAGAGUUGUUGAGAAACUGCAAAAAUAGACUCCAAAGAAGACGUGCAGACAAAGGGAAGCAUGCCACGGAAUUCGCCUGAUGAGGCCGUCGCUACCACUGCUGCCGGGCAAUGGGCGACAGAGCCAGAGAACAUCAGAGCUGAUCAUCACCGCCGCCCUGCUGUCCCUGGAUAUUCGACAUUGUUGCUGACACCGGAAUAGCUUCUCCCUGUCUCUGCUUCUUCAGAUCAAUUGCUCCAGAUUCCAAGUCUGGUUGGCCGAGCUCUGUCACAAGCUAAUACCCUCAUUGGAGGGGUGGCAAGGCAUUAAGUGCGUGGAUGCUGGAGCCAGACUGGGUUUGAAUCCAGGCUCUGCCACAUAUCUGUGUGAGCCUGGACGCCAUGCAUGCCUCGGCUUGCUCAUCUACAAAACGGGGAUAGUGUAGUCAUGCCUACCUCUGUGGGGGGAGGGGGCUAUGUGAACUAAAUAACAGAAUAUAUGUGAAGCGUGUAGAAGAGGUGAUGAGUAAGCAUUUUAAAUUUUAGCUAUUACCAUUAUUAUUAUUAUUAUUAUUAUUAUUUUGAGAUGGAGUCUCGCUCUGUCGCCAGGCUGGAGUGCAGUGGCAUGCUCUCGGCUCACUGCAACCUCCGCCUCCUGGGUUCAAGCGAUUCUCCUGCCUCAGCCUCUGGAGUAGCUGGGACUAUAGGCGGUGCCACCACGCCCAGCUAAUUUUUGUAUUUUUAGUAGAGACAGGGUUUCGCCAUGUUGGCUAGGAUGGUCUCGAUCUCUUGACCUCGUGAUCCGCCCGCCUUGGGCUCCCAAAGUGCUGGGAUUACAGGCGUGAGCUACCGUGCCCGGCCUACCAUUAUUAUUUUAAAAUUAUUUGGCAUUUAUUGUGCGAGGCAGCUGCUGUGUCUCAUGAAGACUCAGACAGUGGGGGAUUCUCCAAACGUACGGAGGGGGACACACAAGACAGGUGUCUACCGCAGCAAUUCCCGUUCCUUUUUCUACCACUCAGAUUUAUUUCUAUUUUGAGCCCUGAUUCCUCCGUGAUUUCAAAAAAUCCCAGUCAAUCUGGAGUCCUAUACCUGUUCCCUAGUGUUGUAUUUAAAAGAUUAAAUUGGAACGUCUUGAAGCAGAGCGUUCACUCUCCAGUUUACUGCAGUCUAGUCCACUCCCUAUUGCCCUGCACCGGCCCCAUUUCACUCACAUACGGCAGUUAGCCUGAUUCCCAUGGACAUUUCAUUUUAUGAUUCCAGAACCUAAGAGCUAGGGUCUUUGAAAAACAAAAAGAAGAAGGCUGGGUGCGGUGGCUCACGCCUGUAAUCCCAGCACUUUGCAGGGCCGAGGCGGGCAGAUCAUGAGGUCAGGAGAUCGAGACCAUCCUGGCUAACAUGGUCAAACCCCGUCUCUACUAAAAAUAUAAAAAAAGCCGCGCAUGGUGGCGGGUGCCUGUAGUCCCAGCUACUCGGGAGGCUGAGGCAGGAGAAUGGCGUGAACCUGGGAGGCGGAGGUUGCAGUGAGCUGAGAUCGUGCCACUUCACUCCAGCCUGGGCAACAGAGUGAGACUCCAUCUCAAAAAAAAAAAAAAGAAAAGAAAAAAGAAAAAAGGAAGCUGAGCGUGGUGGCUCACACCUGUAAUCCCAGCACUUUGGGGUGCCGAGGCGGGUGGAUCAUUUGAGGUCAGGAGUUCGAGACCAGCCUGGCCAACAUGGUGAAAACCUGUCUCUACUAAAAUACAAAAAUUAACUGGGCGUGGUGGUACAUGCCUGUAAUCCCAGCUACCCAGGAGGCUGAGGCAGGAGAAUUGCUUGAACCAGGGAGGUGGAGGUUGCAGUGAGCUGAGAUCGCACCACUGCACUCCAGCCUGGGCAACACAGCAAAACUCUAUUUCAAAAAAAAAAAAAAAAGAAAAAGAAAGAGAAACAGAAGGAUGAAACUUAAAGGCUUUUGUAUCUGCUUUUGUGAAAGUCACAUCCCUGCCCUGAGCCAGUAAUCACAGAUCUAUUAUCUGCUAGACAGGGGGAAAGAAUACAAAGCCCACAUGAUACCACCCAGCCUCAUGAGGUUAUCAGGGUCUCACACGGGGCCCCAGGGCAGGACACACAGCUUGGCCUCCUGGGAACUGGACAGUCAACAGUACCUGCUGUCUCUUUGCUGCUUUCUCUGGGGCUGCUGGUUUCUUGCCUCUCCUGUCGUCUGUGCCUCUGACUCUUUUCCUUCUCCUUGAGGUUAAUUCUAUGGGCCUGAACCCAUUGCUCCACUCCCUUUGUUGUGAAAUGAGUCCCCAAGCAAUACUCUGGCGGGCUUCUCAUCUGUUUCAGUCGCAGGGAUCUUGGGACAGUUAGUCUUUGCCAAACCUCCUACAGGCCAGGGCUUGCUGACCACAGGCAUGUCGUGCGGUCCUUUAUGGCGGGUAUGCUCGCACUGCGUCUGGAGGUUGGGCACUGCCUCUUGGCUUCUGCUCUUGGGAGCUCAUAUCAAUGGUGGGCACACCCCCGAUCCAUCAUACCUAGCCUAUAAAGGAGAAAGCCACAGACCUUCUAAGGAUGCAGGUGUUCCCCCCAUGAAUGUAUUUCUCAGCUCCUUCAUAGAGAAAGCAUUUUCUGGG
rnacentral:lncRNA from 10 species